GCGGAUGUGGCGGAAUGGUAGACGCGCUAGUUUCAGGUACUAGUGAGGCAACUCGUGGAGGUUCAAGUCCUCUCAUCCGCACCA
rnacentral:tRNA from 1 species